rnacentral:rRNA from 1 species
UACGUAGGGCGCAAGCGUUAUCCGGAAUUAUUGGGCGUAAAGAGCUCGUAGGCGGCUCGUCACGUCGGCUGUGAAAGCCCGGGGCUCAACCCCGGGAGGCGGGUGGAUACUGUCAAGCUCGAGUCCGGAAGAGGAGUGUGGAAUUCCUGGUGUAGCGGUGAAAUGCGCAGAUAUCAGGAGGAACACCAAUGGCGAAGGCAGCACUCUGGGACGUGACUGACGCUGAGACGCGAAAGCGUGGGGAGCAAACAGG